rnacentral:lncRNA from 1 species
UUAAAGUAAUUAUGGACCAAAGCAUGCAGUUUCUAUGAUAUAACUAAAUAAUUCAGGAAUGAAGAGAAAAAUAAUCUGUUGAAUCUACUAAUCGUUAGGCAAGAGAAAUUAAAUUGUCAUAAAGGAAUGAAGUGGAAAUUUAUCUGUUGAAACAAAUAAAAAGUUGGGCAACAUGAGUGAAUUGAACAGCAUCUAUUUGCCUAAUAUUGGUUCUCUGGAGGGACCAUAACACAGUGCUAGUUAUGGG